rnacentral:tRNA from 1 species
GGGCUCGUAGUCGAAUGGCAAGACGCUACCCUGACAUGGUAGAGACCAGGGGUUCGAUUCCCUUCGGGCCCA